rnacentral:rRNA from 1 species
CGCGCAGGCGGGCCGGUAAGUUGGAAGUGAAAUCUAUGGGCUUAACCCAUAAACUGCUUUCAAAACUGCUGGUCUUGAGUGAUGGAGAGGCAGGCGGAAUUCCGUGUGUAGCGAUGAAAUGCGUAGAUAUACGGAGGAACACCAGUGGCGAAGGCGGCCUGCUGGACAUUAACUGACGCUGAGGCGCGAAAGCGUGGGAGCAAACA